CAACAUUCAGGGCUGACACUCCUUCCUUGGCUAAUCAUCUUUGGAAAUGUUCUUAUCCCACUCCACUCCUCCUUAUCAACAGCAGAGAUGUUUUCAACUGUGCUACUCAAUAAAAUCACAUUGAAGAUCAAGGUUAACCAUCACCUCUUUGAAGGAAGUGGAACCACUGUCUAAGGUUACAGUCAACAACACUAUUGGUACUUUGCAUGACUCCAACUCUUCUGUUUAUGAAAUAAGCACCAUUCUGUUUCUCAGAAACAUCACUAACCUGGGACCAUUCUGGAGUCUGGAAGUCCAAGUUCCAGGUGCCUGUACAGAGUGGUUUCUGGUGAAGCUUUCGGUUGCAGGAACGCCCUGAGGGGAAUCGUGAACCAAGGACCCUGCUCGGGAACUACAAAACCGUACCAGACUCUGCUGUUUCCCACCCCGGGAAAACAUCGACUGAGAACUCCCAUUAUGGACAUCACUCUACAUCCUCAGAGAGCAGCAAUGGAGGUGCUCCAGGCACCCCAGUGGCGAGGCAGCCCAGCAAGACUUUAUUACAUUUUCAACAUGGAUUCUUCCACUACAGGGAACUUUUAGGUCUUAAGCCUCAGACUGGAGCUAUAUUAUUGGUCCAGCUAUUUGAUUGGAUAGUUCCUCCCCCCCCCUUUUCUCUCCUCUCUCUCCUCCUUCCCCUCCUCCUCCCCCUCCUCCCUUCCUCCUCUGCUCCUCCUCCUCCUCUUAAGAGUGCAGACAGAUUUUAGGCAAACCAACCUCUAACAGGGUAAGCCAAACCUAUAAAUCCAUAUGUACAUGGAUAUUUUAUCUAUCUAUCAUCUAUCUAUCUAUCUAUCUAUCUAUCUAUCUAUCUAUCUAUCUACCUACCUACUCACCUACCUAUAUCUAUCCUGGAUCUGUUCUCAAACUUGACUAACACAAGCCCAUUGUUCAAAUGAAGCUGUGCAUAGAUAACACAGUCUAAAAUGGCCUUAGCAGGGUCCUCCAAGUCCCCUAUUUUCAGCUGUUCUUUGCCCUUGGCAGUGGUGGCUCCCAU